GACGUUCACAAGCCGGCCUCCAUUUACUCCACAAAACGAGAGCCUUCCAGAUGAAGAGUCCGCCCCUUCAUGUCCGCGCCGUAGGAGGGGUUCAAUCGCCAACAUCCAGAUGCGGCGGAGGAGACUCGCCGGCACGCUCCCGCUCGCCCUCCCGUGGCUUCGCCCCUAAUCGGCCUGUACCUCCACCCAGUAUUGCGUCGUCUUCGUGGGGACGAGGCGGCGCUGGUCGUCGACAACGACGGCGACUACAGUCCUCGCUCCACAGCCUCCCUCUCUGCACCGCGUCGCUGCUUCUCAUAGGUAUCUGUUUCUGCUGCAUUUGAAGGACAACUUUAGGACUGCAAUGGCGCUUCAAUAUAACCAAAGAUUUAGAUAAAACAGGCUAGUCUCCCCGAGAACAAGGAAUUGCUAGAAUCCCUUAACUCGGAACAAAAAGACAGUGGAUGUUACGUUUAUGAAGAAUGGUCCUUUUAUUUUCUUGCAAGGAAACAAGUUUAAGCACUUAAAAAGGCUGGAAGGAAAUCUGAAAUGGAUCACCACUUUGGCUUUUCAGAUGGUGAUGGAAUAAGGGAAAAACACAGUGGCAAAGAGAGUCAAGUACAGUUUAUUUGAUGAUCAUCAAGGAGGAAGAGAUUAAUAUUUCUUAUUUGUAGGAGGAAGAGAUUUUAAAAAGGACACCAUGACAAGCAGGAGGCAAGCAGCUUAUUGAAGCAUGUAACUGGCACCGCAAGUUUGCAAGGCUAUGCGGAUAGCUUGUUGGAUGCGACAGUCAGACAUUUUGGUUCAGCACCGUCUGCUCAGCCUGAAGAAAAUGGGUUCAAGGGCCACGGCAUGCUGGCGCCUUUUACAGCUGGCUGGCAGGGCAAUGAUUUACACCCUCUGAUCAUUGAGAGAUCUGAGGGUUCCUAUGUCUAUGACAUUAAUGGGAACAAGUAUCUGGACUCUCUUGCAGGAUUAUGGUGCACAACUUUAGUGCAGAGCAAUCCACCACAACCACGACGUGAAGGACUCCAAGCUACAAUUUCUGCAUCACUAAAACAAAAAAACAACAGUAAUGCAUCCAAGGUGCUCACUCAGGUCCUUCUGUUCUCUUAAAAUUUUAUAUGUGUAAAAUAUCAUGCUGACUGUAGUUAAUAAUCAAGUGCAUUAGUCCUAGGAAAGCUUUGGGCAUUUGGUGAGGAGCGCAAGGCAAAAUACGGCAAAAACAUCAUGGCUGUGCAGUUGUGCAGGCUUGGAGCUGAAGUUUGGGAGCUGAAGGCAAAGAGGCAGGGACUAUGUGCAGAAAUAAGAAAUAAUGAUUAGAUCAGUCUAGGCUAUACAUGCUUCCCAUUUUCUGAACCUGGAACACUAUGAAGAUGCAAGGGCUUUCUGCAUAUGGAUAUUUGUUUUGCCUAUUGGUUUAUUUAGGAUCUAGAUCACCGAUGACUAUGAGUCAUAUGUAAAUAUAUUUUUAUCAUACCAAAAGUGUCUCGAACAUAUAUUAUAUAUGAAACCAUGGAUCAAC